CUGAAGUAUAUAAGUCUCAUGGGCCCCUCCUACUAUCACCAAUUGGUUUUAGGAUGGAACCCAUGGAUUUCUAUCAGUAGAAACAUUGUAAUGACUAACCUCAUCUUCCUCUUCUUUGUCUUUUGCUAUUUUAUCUGGUGAAUUUGCAUCUUGUGCUGGUAUGGGCAAAGGUCUUGGAAGAGAUUUCACAGUAUCCAGAUACUGUGGCUGCUGAAUUGAAGGGACUGCCGGAGGAGCAAGUUAUGGCAAGAGCCGAUGAAUUACGGGCUGCUAGGGAAGUAGAUCCAGAUUUUGAUCACAUUUUCCUUCCUUUUGGGAAGAAUAUGAUGAGAAAGCAAAUUCCCGGAGCCGGACAAGCAACAAGCAUUUAUUUCCCUAAUGCUAGCAGUUCGUCCACUGGGGGCUAGGGCGUUAGCACGGAAGAGUUACAAGCAAUGCGAGAGCAAAUCAUUAUUGAGUUGAAAGAGGAGUUGGAACAGCAAAAUGAGGCGUCCCGCGCGGAGCUGGAGAGGCAAAAUGCAGCGCAUGACGCUGAGUUAAUGAGGCAAAAUGUGGAGUUACGUGCGGAAUUUGAGACAAAAAUGAGAGGAUAUUAGAACAGUUGUUGAACCUUAGUGAAAAGGUUAACACAAUGAGUAAAAACUAAAAGUGUAAAACAAUUUUAUUAAUUUUAUGUAAGUUUUGAAUUUUGUUUGUCA